GUGAUGGUAAACCGCUAUCGAGGGGGACAAAUGGCACCUUGAAUGAACCCUCUGGGAAGGACAGGCUCAACACUUGCCCUCAGCCGAAUUGAGAGGAGCUCUCCAAACGUGAUUCGGUAUCACUGGGCUUAAAGAGUUCGUAGGCGGCUUUACAGGUGGGGUGUGAAAGCCCUCGGCUCAACCGAGGAAUUGCGCCCCAAACCGUAAGGCUUGAGGGAUAUAGGGGUAAGCGGAACAGAUGGUGGAGCGGUGAAAUGCAUUGAUAUCAUCUGGAACACCGGUGGCGAAGGCGGCUUACUGGAUAUUUUCUGACGCUGAGGAACGAAAGCUAGGGUAGCGAACGGGAUUAGAUACCCCGGUAGUCCUAGCCGUAAACGAUGAGCACUAGUUUGAAGGACUCUCACAGUCUUUCGAACGUAGCGAAAGUGUUAAGUGCUCCGCCUGGGGAGUAUGGUCGCAAGGCUGAAACUCAAA
rnacentral:rRNA from 1 species